ACUCAUUUUCAGUCUUUUGACUAAGAUCAAGUGUAAUAUUUAUUUUACCAGUUCAAUAUAUGGUAUAUGAACAAUAUGUUCACUUUGACAUUAAAUUCAUUUAUGAUGGGUAUUUUAUGUGGAGUGUCCAUUAAGGCUCUCAAGUGUUGCUUAGUCACCCAAU
rnacentral:snRNA from 1 species